rnacentral:rRNA from 1 species
UCCCAGACUCCUACGGGAGGCAGCAGUGGGGAAUAUUGCACAAUGGGGGGAACCCUGAUGCAGCGACGCCGCGUGGGUGAAGGAGCACCUCGGUGCGUAAAGCCCUAUCGGCAGGGAAGAAACAGACGGUACCUGACUAAGAAGCCCCGGCUAACUACGUGCCAGCAGCCGCGGUAAUACGUAGGGGGCAAGCGUUAUCCGGAUUCACUGGGUGUAAAGGGAGCGUAGACGGCGACGCAAGUCUGGAGUGAAAGCCCGGGGCCCAACCCCGGGACUGCUCUGGAAACUGCCCGGCUAGAGUGCUGGAGAGGUAAGCGGAAUUCCUAGUGUAGCGGUGAAAUGCGUAGAUAUUAGGAGGAACACCAGUGGCGAAGGCGGCUUACUGGACAGUAACUGACGUUGAGGCUCGAAAGCGUGGGGAGCAAACAGGAUUAGAUACCCGAGUAUA